AUUGAACGCUGGCGGCAGGCUUAACACAUGCAAGUCGAGCGGAAACGAUGUAGCUUGCUACAGGCGUCGAGCGGCGGACGGGUGAGUAACGCGUAGGAAUCUGCCUAGUAGUGGGGGACAACAUGUGGAAACGCAUGCUAAUACCGCAUACGCCCUACGGGGGACAGGAGGGGAUCUUCGGACCUUUCGCUAUUAGAUGAGCCUGCGUAAGAUUAGCUAGUUGGUAGGGUAAAGGCCUACCAAGGCGACGAUCUUUAACUGGUCUGAGAGGAUGGCCAGUCACACUGGGACUGAGGCACGGCCCAGACUCCUACGGGAGGCAGCAGUGGGGAAUAUUGGACAAUGGGCGCAAGCCUGAUCCAGCCAUGCCGCGUGUGUGAAGAAGGCCUUAGGGUUGUAAAGCACUUUCAGGGGUGAGGAAGGGUGUUUGGUUAAUAUCCAAACAUUUUGACGUUAGCCCCAGAAGAAGCACCGGCUAACUCUGUG
rnacentral:rRNA from 1 species